rnacentral:rRNA from 1 species
GAUGAACGCUGGCGGCGUGCCUAAUACAUGCAAGUCGAGCGAACAGACGAGGAGCUUGCUCCUCUGACGUUAGCGGCGGACGGGUGAGUAACACGUGGAUAACCUACCUAUAAGACUGGGAUAACUUCGGGAAACCUGAGCUAAUACCGGAUAAUAUAUUGAACCUCAUGGUUCAAUAGUGAAAGCCGUUUUUGCUGUCCCUUAUAGAUGGAUCCUCGCCGCAUUAGCUAGUUGGUAAGGUAACGGCUUACCAAGGCGACGAUGCGUAGCCGACCUGAGAGGGGGGACAGGCAAAACUGGAAUGAGGAAAGGGCCAAAAUACUAAGGGAAGGAAGAGGGAGGGAAACUGCAGAAAGGGGGGAAGGCUGGACGGAGCAAGGCGGGGGGAGGAAGAAGGGUCUCGGAUUGGAAAAACCCUGUUAUUAGGAAAAAAAAAAGGGGGAAGUAACAAUGCAGGUUUGAAGGGAACAAAAUAAGAAAGCCAGGGCAAACUACGU